rnacentral:rRNA from 1 species
GUGAACGCUGGCGGCGUGCUUAAAACAUGCAAGUCGAACGCCCUAGCAAUAGGGAGUGGCGCACGGGUGAGUAACAUGUGGGAAUAUGCCUCUUGGUACGGAACAACGUUUGGAAACGAACGCUAAUACCGUAUGGUCCCUUCGGGGUAAAGAUUUAUCGCCAAAAGAUUAGCCCGCACUGGAUUAGCUAGUUGGUAAGGUAAUGGCUUACCAAGGCGACGAUCCAUAGCUGGUCUGAGAGGACGAUCAGCCACACUGGGACUGAGACACGGCCCAGACUCCUACGGGAGGCAGCAGUUAGGAAUAUUGGACAAUGGGCGCAAGCCUGAUCCAGCCAUGCCGCGUGAGUGAUGAAGGCCUUCGGGUUGUAAAACUCUUUAGCCGAUGAAUAUAAUGACUGUAGUCGGAAAAUAAGCCCCGGCUAACCUCGU